rnacentral:rRNA from 1 species
CGGACGGGGGAGUAACGCGUGGAUAACCUGCCUCACACUGGGGGAUAACAGUUAGAAAUGGCUGCUAAUACCGCAUAAGCGCACAGUACCGCAUGGUACGGUGUGAAAAACCCAGGUGGUGUGAGAUGGAUCCGCGUCUGAUUAGCCAGUUGGCGGGGUAACGGCCCACCAAAGCGACGGUCAGUAGCCGACCUGAGAGGGUGACCGGCCACAUUGGGACUGAGACACGGCCCAA